rnacentral:lncRNA from 1 species
AAGAGACAACAAGCCCUUGCCACCAGCCCCAGUCCAUCCAUUGCCAGUGGCCAACACCCCCAGCGAUUGCCUUCAAGUCGCCAGUCUAGCCUUUGACUUCAGCACCAUUCCUGUUUGGAGAUAUGUAGAGUUUUGAAUGUUUAGAGAUGAUAGAAUUGUGUGACUUUGGAUCAUUAAUUUUGGUAGGGUAGCAGCAUCCAAAGGCCAGAUCUACCUUUCCGGGGAUCCAAUCACUUUCAAGCCAGAUCUAGCAACAAGCAAGCUACAUCCAGCUUUUUUAAGGAAAAAUCUAGCCAUUAGCCUGCCGAUCCAACUACCUGCAGUCAUCUUGUGACCAGUGAGCCUAACCCUGUUUGCUUCCCCUUCUUCCCUCUCUCUUGUCCUCCCUCUGUUCUUUUUGUGUUUUGUUUUUAGCUUUUUCCAUCUCUCUCUUAGUUAUUCUCUUUUUUCUUUAUUCGUUUUGGUCCUCUCUCUUUUUCCUUUCUCCUCUCCCUCAGCCUCUCUCCUCCUUUAGGUCUUAGGUGUUUUUUGUUUAUUUUUUCCCUCUUAGCAUUUUUGGACUUCUUUUAGAUCCAUAUCCCCGGUUUUCUUAGUUGGCCUCCUCUUCCUUUUCCUCUAAAGAGAGAGAGGCUCGGGAGGAGGAGGAGGGGGGUCUCCUCCUCCUGCCCUCUCAUCCUUUUGUGUGCUCUUUCGUCACCUCUUUCCACCCCUUUCACCCUCCAUCCUAUGUCUCAACCCUUUCUCGCCCACCCUCCGCUUUCGUCCGUGACUUAUUCCAGCGCUUUAUGUCUUCACCCUCUUCCCAGAAUUUGAAAUCUUCAUGCUUGAAUUAACGCAUAAAACAUGAUACCUUCCUUGGGGGUCAACCACCUUGUUGGUCCUUGAGGUUUCCUCGAGUGUUUGGAGGUCCAUUGUAUCUUGUCCGAGGCUAACGCCGUAGAUAGGGGAUGGUCAAUUUCCUAACCUUGGUGAACCCACCCUGUCUAUUGAGGCAUAUUACAAUUGUUUGGAUAGUUUAUUGAGUUUGGUCUCCUCUUUCAUUGCGUCUUAGUUUUCUUCUCAGUUCUUUCGUAGCGCUAUUCUCCAGGUCCUUUUCUCUUUGGUUUUUCUACUCUUCUACCACUUUCUUACCCGUUUUUAAGCCGGGUUUUUUGGCCGCUGGUUGUGCCCUAACCCCCACAGCUGUGCUACCAAGUUUCGAUCGAUUUCCUUAUGGCCACCGCUAAUCCUGUAUAGGUUGGCGCUUUCUUCCAAUCUCAGCUUGUGAGGUUAUUGAUAGAUUCCAAUCUCAGCUUGUGAGGUUAUUGAUAGAUGGGAUGUUCAAUAUUGAGGGUUAUGAUAUGUGGUUUGGUUUGACUGGGAUGCCGGGAAGACUGUCACUUGUGGAAGAUAGUUGGGUUAUUGAGUUUGCUAUUGAUUUUGGGUCUGUAGUUGUUGAGUGUUUAUGUGUUUUGUUAGUUUAGGAUGGUUCUCUUUUAGGGAGUGGAGAGCUCAGUCUCCUUAUUUCGUCAUCCCUUCUUUCUAUUGUUAUCUUGAGCCAUGUUCUUUAUAUUAAUGAAAGUAGACGAUGUCAUUCAAAAAAAAAAAAAAAAAUUUGCAACAAAAGGCAAAAAUCUACUUUUUGUGUGUGGGGCUAGCUAAUUAAUAAAGUAAGAGCUUGAAAUUAGAAAAUUUGAAAUGUGGGAUGGGCCCUCUACCACCCACUUUAUAUUUUACAAAUUUCAAAGCAAAGUAGUUUAAAAAUAAUGAAAAAAGUUUAAAAAAACAUGGGAAUUGGUUGAGCCAUCCGGUUCAUUGGGCAAAACUGGCUGGAUUAGAAGGUCUCUCAAAGAACCAGUUAGAACGGCUGUCUCAUGGGAGGAACCGAGUGGUUCUCGAUAUUUUGCAAGGACUGGUUUGUCCCCCACAGAUCCAGAAAGGCUAGACGUUGCAUUCAACACACUUUUUGGGCCAGGAAAGGCGUGGUUUCAAUUCUGAAGGACCGAAAGAAAUAUAUGUUAGGUCAACAGAUCAUGAUAAUAAGAGGAGGUAACAACCUGCACAAGCUACGAAUUCGCUAGGUUUUUGAGAGAACAUGCAGAUAUGGGAAAUGAUUUUGGUACAAUACUAACUCAAAGCUCAAAGGAUCACGAUGAG